CAGCCGCCGCGGUAAUACCGGCGGCCCGAGUGGCGGUCACUAUUAUUGGGCUUAAAGCGUCCGUAGCCGGGUUGGGAAGUCCUCCGGGAAAUCUGGCCGCUUAACGGUCAGAAUGCCGGAGGAUACUCCCAGCCUAGGGAGCGGGAGAGGCCGAGGGGAUUCCCGGAGUAGGGGGGAAAUCCUAUAAUCCCGGGAGGACCACCUGUGGCGAAGGCGCUCGGCUGGAACGCGUCCGACGGUGAGGGACGAAGGCCAGGGGAGCAAACCGGAUUAGAUACCCGGGUAGUCCUGGCUGUAAACGAUGCGGACUUUGUGUCGGACAAGCUAUGAGCUUGUCCGGUGCCGGAGGGAAACCGUUAAGUCCGCCGCCUGGGGAGUACGGCCGCAAGGCUGAAACUUAAAGAAAUUGCGGG
rnacentral:rRNA from 1 species